UGGGAGCUUACUAGACUAAGGUGUUUUGAUACAAGAAGCUCAAGAAGCUAGAGGGGGAGAAUCAAGCAAAAGCAAAGGAAAGAACAUCGAAUAGCCGAGUUGGAACCAUUUUACCCAACACAAGGUCUCUUGGACUCAUAUCGU